GUAGGAAGGGAGGAAGCUGAAUAAGGCUGGAUGGACCUGGCUGAUUAAGGAGCUCUGAGCCUUCUUGGGGCGAGGAUGAUGGUGAUGAUGAAGAUGGUGGUUGAGUUCUGCCUGGCUGAAUCUGCUUAGGAUUCUAUUGGUCAGUGUUACAAGUGCGCAGGAAGUCACUUGGGCCACAAGGAGGGAAGGGAUGGUGAGCUGAGCAGAUGGGCCUUCGUUCCCCUCCCCUGCUCUGUCAGAGCAGCUUCUUCUUAAUCAGUUCUGUGCAUUGGGCUUCCAUACAAGACUUUGUGGGAAAAAGGCUUUUUUACCGCAAUUAAAACAUGUGCACACACUGCUGUAAUACCUGACACAUCCUGUUCAACAAACCCCGAUGGUGGAAGGCUUCAAACACAUUGUCUUCUCUCGAAAAUACGCACGUGUUUACGUUUUAUAUCAUGUAUCGUCCACUUGUGAGCGUGAAGUGGGAGCUUAGUCACUCAUCACAGCCCAGUGUUCUCAAGACUUCCGGCAUGUUAUAGAAGAAAAAUUAUGAGAGACGAGGGAGAACACAGAGGGGAAUGUUUUAUGGCCAAGCAGGGCACCUGCUCCAGCUCAGAAUCCAGUGUGCUCUGGGGACCAGGUUCUGGAGAGGAAAACAGCUACAAAUCCAACUCUGGCCCUGAAAUAAGUGGACGUGUGCAGUUGGGGAAGAGAGAGCUUUGUGAACACAGGAUUCCCUACGUGUGAUGUUGACUUUGGACCUCAGGUUGCGUUCAUCUCUGUGGGCUGUCAAAGGGCUGAGAGGCCCUUUGCUGCAUGGCAGUGGGGAAAAGAGUUGUAAAAUUGGGCACUCUUUAGGAAGCAUUACAUGACAAACAUCUUACAGCCUCCACAUUUGCCCUACCCUGGGCCCCAGGAAAGACUUCACAGGGAAGAGUAGAUGGUGGUGGGUGUGGUGGUUGGCAUUCCAUGGCUCAUGGGAGGGUGAGAAGGGGAAAGAGAGUGGAAGGUGGAGCCUUCAAGCAACUGAGGCCAGUCACCCAGAGAAAGUGGCCAGAGAUGAGGCUGGGCUGUUGUGGCUGCCUCAGGACAUUUGAAGGAGUCUGGUCCUUAAUCUGACAAUAGUGGGAAGGUAUAGAAGGCUUUAAAACAGAAGACUAGUAUAACCUAAACCGUCCUUUGAGAGGAUCUCUUUGUGCGUAGAUUUAAGCCAUUUUGGCUGAGGGACAGUACCCAGGUUAUCCUGGUAUAAUGAGUAGCUCCAUCAAGAGAGGCUGCAGCUCUGUGUCUGCAUCUACAAAGCUUUGCUCCCUAAGGUGGUGUGUUUCAAUGAAAACAAUUCUGGCACAGGCUUAAAUGCCAGCAAACCACCCCAGUGCAGUCACAUAAUCUGCUCUGUGAACUCGAAUAAGUCCUAUUAUCCAACUGUAGCCACUCUGACAAACGGUUACUCCAAGAUGAAUAUUCCUAUGGUAAGAUCAGCUAAAAACUUCUCUAGGCAAAUCAAGUAAACAGUGUGGGGGACACAGAACCAGACAGCUUUAGAUUUGGAGCUCCAGCUAUUGGGUUUGCUGGAUUCUUAGACUGUACAAGGGCAGUGGUCCUUGUGUACUCUUUCCAGUUCUCUAAUACUGCUUGUUUCUCCUGGUGGGUAAUUAAUAAACUUUGUGUAAUUAACAAACCCUCUGGUGCUGACUUAACCAUAUUUGAAAUGCUUGCAAUGGUCACUUUUGGAGGGUGGGUUUAUG
rnacentral:lncRNA from 1 species